GGGAAAGUACGAGGGUAUCUGGUUAAUGGAUGGAAAAUGGCAAUUAAUAGUCACUGGGGAAGCAGGGAUUGGGCUGAAGAGGAGGGACAAAGGAGGGACAAAGGACAGACCAUGACAGCGCUCUUGUCACACUCAAAUUUAGUGGCAGAUUGCCAGCUGUGAAACCCAUCAAAUGGUGUGCAGACUCCAGCUUUUGGUGAACACUGGCGUGGUGAUGGUGUGGACCCAGUGAGUGAAGAAUGCAUAAAAGUGCAAGCAACAAGUUGGCCUCAAACUUGGCACGCCCAUGUACAUAUGUCACAUGCCUGCAGCUGCUUCAUAUAUAAUCCAGUGGUGCUUCUCAGAAUGAAGGAAGGAUGCUAAAAACGGCUGAAUUUGAAGGAGGCUAUGUCGUCACUCCAGUGAAGGUCUGUUUCAAUGUCAAGAGGCCUUCAAAUUCUACUGAGGACCAAACCCUUCCUUCAGAAAAUUUUCAAGAAUGCACGUGUGUGUGUCCUUGGUGGGCUUGAAGUACCUACAAUUCUUUGCACACAAUUUGCUGGAAUUGAAUUCUGUGACUUGUCUUUUUAAGUUUUGUUUGUGAUUCAUCCUGGCUUCAUAUGAGCAGAGGAAAUCUAAGGCAGUCACUAGGCUAAUUUAUACAAUGUA